GAUGAACGCUAGCUACAGGCUUAACACAUGCAAGUCGCGGGGCAGCAUGUUGGUUGCUUGCAACCGAUGAUGGCGACCGGCGCACGGGUGAGUAACGCGUAUCCAACCUACCUAUUACCACGGGAUAACCCGGCGAAAGUCGGACUAAUACCGUAUGUUGUCCUCCAAUGGCAUCAGCAGUGGACUAAAGGUUUAGCGGUAAUAGAUGGGGAUGCGUCCGAUUAGCUAGUUGGUGAGGUAAUGGCUCCCCAAGGCUUCGAUCGGUAGGGGUUCUGAGAGGAAGGUCCCCCACACUGGAACUGAGACACGGUCCAGACUCCUACGGGAGGCAGCAGUGAGGAAUAUUGGUCAAUGGACGAGAGUCUGAACCAGCCAAGUAGCGUGCAGGAUGACUGCCCUAUGGGUUGUAAACUGCUUUUAUGCGGGGAUAAAGUGAGUUACGUGUAACUUAUUGCAGGUACCGCAUGAAUAAGGACCGGCUAAUUCCGUGCCAGCAGCCGCGGUAAUACGGAAGGUCCAGGCGUUAUCCGGAUUUAUUGGGUUUAAAGGGAGCGUAGGCCGUUUUUUAAGCGUGUUGUGAAAUGUACCGGCUCAACCGGUGAUGUGCAGCGCGAACUGGAAGACUUGAGUGCGUAGUAAGCAGGCGGAAUUCGUGGUGUAGCGGUGAAAUGCUUAGAUAUCACGAAGAACUCCGAUAGCGCAGGCAGCUUGCUGCAUCGCAACUGACGCUGAUGCUCGAAAGCGUGGGUAUCAAACAGG
rnacentral:rRNA from 1 species